rnacentral:rRNA from 1 species
UACGUAGGGUGCGAGCGUUGUCCGGAAUUACUGGGUGUAAAGGGUUCGUAGGCGGUGCGGCAAGUUGGGAGUGAAAUCUCUGGGCUUAACCCAGAGGCUGCUCUCAAAACUGCUGUGCUUGAGUGUGAGAGAGGCUCGUGGAAUUGCAGGUGUAGCGGUGAAAUGCGUAGAUAUCUGCAGGAACACCCGUGGCGAAAGCGGCGAGCUGGAUCACUACUGACGCUGAGGAACGAAAGCUAGGGGAGCAAACGGG